rnacentral:rRNA from 1 species
UACAGAGGGUGCGAGCGUUAAUCGGAAUUACUGGGCGUAAAGCGUGCGUAGACGGUCGUGUAAGUCGGAUGUGAAAUCCCCGGGCUCAACCUGGGAAUUGCAUUCGAGACUGCACGGCUGGGGUGCGGAAGAGGGAAGCGGAAUUUCCGGUGUAGCGGUGAAAUGCGUAGAUAUCGGAAGGAACAUCAGUGGCGAAAGCGGCUUCCUGGUCCAGCACCGACGUUCAGGCACGAAAGCGUGGGGAGCAAACAGG